rnacentral:lncRNA from 1 species
AUGGGAAUUUUGGGUGAAUUCCUCCCGAUUUUGGUUCUUUUUGAAACCUCCUCAAUCCUGCCUCAGUUUCCCUGGGAAUUUUGGGAAUUUCAGCUCCCAAAUCCCGAUUUUCCCAAAAUCCUGAUGGAACUGAGGGGAUUUGGGUGGGAAUUCCGAAAGAUUUUGGGUCAAUUCCUCCCGAUUUUGGUCAAUUUCGAACCCUCCUCAAUCCUGCCUCAGUUUCCCUGGGAAUUUUGGGAAUUUCAGCUCCCAAAUCCCGGUUUUUCCCCCGUUCCCAGGCUCCUGGUGGAUCUGAUGGACUCGGACAGCUCCGGGGGGGUCUCUGCGGAGGAGCUGCGGGCCUGGAUCCUCCGGAGGCACCGCGGAUCCCGGGAGGAAUCGCUGAGGAUCGAGAGAUCCCGCCUGGAUCUGGACGGCGACGGCGCCGUGGGCUGGGACGAGCUGCAGCGGGAAAGCUUCGGAGACGGAGGGGAUUUUGGGGGAUUUUUUGGGAUUUUUUUGGGAAUUUUUUGGGGAUUUUUUGGGAUUUUUUGGGAAUUUUUGGGGAUUUUUUGCGAUUUUUUUGGGAACUUUUGGGGAUUUUUAGGGAUUUUUUGGGAUUUUUAGGGAUUUUUUGGGGAAUAUUUGGGGGAUUUUUUGGGAUUUUUUGGGGAGUUUUAGGGGAUUUUUGGGGAUUUUUUUAGGAGUUUUUAGGGAUUUUGGGGGGAUUUUUUGGGAUUUUUUUGAGAUUUUUUGGGGAUUUUUUGGGAUUUUUUAGGGAUUUUGGGGGGAAUUUUUUGGGAUUUUUUUGGGGAAUUUUUUGGGAUUUUUGGGGAUUUUUUGGGGAAUUUUUUGGGAUUUUGGGGGAUUUUUUUGGGAAUUUUUUUUGGAUUUUUAGGGGAUUUUUGGGGAUUUUUUGGGAUUUUUUAGGGAUUUUUGGGGGAUUUUUUGGGAUUUUUGGGGAUUUUUUUGGGAAUUUUUGGGGGAUUUUUUGGGAUUUUUUGGGGAUUUUUUGGGAUUUUUUUGGGAUUUUUUUGGGAUUUUGGGGGAUUUUUUGGGAAUUUUUUGGGGGAUUUUUUUGGGAAUUUUGGGGGAUUUUUAGGGAUUUUUGGGGAAUUUUUGGGGAAUAUUUGGGGGAUUUUUGGGAUUUUUUUGGGAUUUUUUUGAGAUUUUUUGGGGAAUUUUUUGGGAUUUUUUUUGGAAUUUUUGGGGGAUUUUUUCGGAAUUUUUGGGGAUUUUUUAGGGAUUUUGGGGGGAUUUUUUGGGAUUUUUUGGGAAUUUUUUGGGGAUUUUUGAGGAUUUUUUUUGGAAUUUUUUGGGGAUUUUUUGGGAUUUUUUUGGAAUUUUGGGGGGAUUUUUUGGGAUUUUUUUGGGAACUUUUGGGGAUUUUUAGGGAUUUUUUGGGAUUUUUUUGGGGAAUUUUGGGGGGAUUUUUUGGGGAUUUUUUUUUGAUUUUUUGGGGAUUUUUUAGGGAAUUUUUGGGGGAUUUUUUGGGAUUUUGGGAGAUUUUUUGGGAUUUUUUUGAGAUUUUUGGGGGAAUUUUGGGGGAUUUUUUGGGAUUUUUUAGGGAAUUUUGGGGGGAUUUUUUGGGGAUUUUUUUUGGAUUUUUUUGGGAUUUUUUAGGGAA